UGGGGAAUUUUGCGCAAUGGGCGAAAGCCUGACGCAGCGACGCCGCGUGUGCGAUGAAGGCCCUUGGGUCGUAAAGCACUGUCGAUCGGGACGAAAGCUCCCGGGCUAACAUCCCGGGAGAUUGACGGUACCGGUAAAGGAAGCACCGGCUAACUCUGUGCCAGCAGCCGCGGUAAUACAGAGGGUGCAAACGUUGCUCGGAAUUAUUGGGCGUAAAGCGCGUGUAGGCGGCCCGUUAUGUCGGCUGUGAAAGCCCAUGGCUCAACCAUGGAAGUGCAGCCGAAACUGACGGGCUAGAAUCCUGGAGAGGGUGGCGGAAUGCCCAGUGUAGAGGUGAAAUUCGUAGAUAUUGGGUAGAACACCGGUGGCGAAGGCGGCCACCUGGACAGCGAUUGACGCUAAGACGCGAAAGCGUGGGGAGCGAACAG
rnacentral:rRNA from 1 species